CCAUACCACUAUCUCCUCAUAAAGCUCCAUCUUCUGAUCUAGAAGAGUUAGAGUGAUCCAAAAAAAAAAAGUUUGAAUCAGCCAUCCAGAGACUUCAACACGAGCUAGCACUCUCGAGAAGGACGAUCCGAUCAGAGCUUAGAGUGGAUGACCUAUAGAGGUCGUACAAUCUAUGCAGUUGAUCGACAUCAGGAAUAGCCUCAUACCAUACCUAUCAAUAAUGGAGAUCAUCGACCUAUAUAAAGGUAAUGAGUUC
rnacentral:lncRNA from 1 species